CUUACCGCCGCUGCCCUCUCUCCUCCCUCUACGCCCCCGGAAUUUCGUUCACUCAGUGGUAUUAUGAGCGGAACCACCCCCACUCCUUCACUGUUCGUCCGGAAGCAAUGGCGGAAGUGUGUAUCUUGCUUAGCUCCUUGCCAUUUGUUACUGGGGGAUAAUGUCCUCACAAACGCAUGAACGGUUCCCGCCCUGGAAGGCUGACCGCUCACACUCGACUCGAACACCGCCCACACUCCUACGGGACGCAGCACUAGGGAAUUUUCCACAAUGGCGCCAAGCUUGAUGGAGCAACGCCGCGUGAGUGAAGACGGCCUUUGGGUUGUAAAGCUCUGUCUGUCGGGACGAAGACCGGGACCGGAGUCCCGGGGAGCCGGUACCGACGAAGGAAGCCCCUGCAAACUACGUGCCAGCAGCCGCAGUAAGACGUAGGGGGCAAGCGUGGUGCGGGGGGGGCUCCGCGUAAAGGGCGUGUAGGCGGUGCGAUACGUAGCGGUUUUAAGCCUCCGGCUCACCCGGAGGAGGGCGGCUAAACGGUCGCACUGGAGGGCAGGAGAGGUGCGUGGAAUUCCUGGUGGAGCGGUGAAAUGCGUAGAGAUCAGGAAGAACACCAGUGGCGAAGGCGGCGCACUGGCCNUACCCUGACGCUGUAGGCCGCG
rnacentral:rRNA from 1 species